rnacentral:rRNA from 1 species
UGUUUUCUGUUGAAGUUUUGGUACAAGUUCUUUGGAAUAGGACAUCAUAGAGGGUGAGAAUCCCGUAUUUGACCUUAAUUUUUCAACUUUGUGAUACACUUUCAAAGAGUCGGAUUGUUUGGGAAUGCAGUCCAAAAUGGGUGGUAAAUUUCAUCUAAGGCUAAAUAUUGGCGAGAGACCGAUAGCGAACAAGUACCGUGAGGGAAAGAUGAAAAGAACUUUGAAAAGAGAGUUAAAUAGUACGUGAAAUUGUCAAAAGGGAAGCGUUUGGCACCAGUGUUGUUUUUCUAAAAAUCAAUUUAAAAUUUGCUUAUGUUAAGUGUUUUAGACUUAAUCGGCUAUACAUUUAAUUCUUUGUAAAUUUUGAAUGCACUUUUUAGUUAACAAGUCAACAUCAAUUUUUUUUGCUGUAAAAAAGUAAGAGGAAGGUGGCUUGGGAUUCGUUUCAAGUGUUUAUAGCCUCUUGCCCAUGCAGUAGGAGAGAUUGAGGUCUGCAGCAUAGAUCCUUCGGGGCUAGAUGCUUUUGUGCUAGAAGCUAGUAUUAUAUAGACAACUUGUUGAUUAUGUAAUAUAUUAGUUUCUACUCGCUAAAGUUAUUUUACCUAUGCUUAGGAUGUUGACAAAAUGGUUUUAAACGACCCGU